AGAGUUUGAUCCUGGCUCAGAUUGAACGCUGGCGGCAUGCCUAACACAUGCAAGUCGAACGGAAACGAUGGAAGCUUGCUUCCAGGCGUCGAGUGGCGGACGGGUGAGUAAUACUUAGGAAUCUGCCCAUUAGUGGGGGACAACUCGGGGAAACUCGAGCUAAUACCGCAUACGCCCUACGGGGGAAAGCGGAGGACCUUUCGGGGCUUCGCGCUAAUGGAUGAGCCUAAGUCGGAUUAGCUAGUUGGUAGGGUAAAAGCCUACCAAGGCGACGAUCCGUAGCUGGUCUGAGAGGACGAUCAGCCACACUGGGACUGAGACACGGCCCAGACUCCUACGGGAGGCAGCAGUGGGGAAUAUUGGACAAUGGGCGCAAGCCUGAUCCAGCAAUGCCGCGUGUGUGAAGAAGGCCUGCGGGUUGUAAAGCACUUUCAGUAGAGAAGAAAAGUUUAGGGUUAAUACCCCUGAAUCUUGACGUUACCUACAGAAGAAGCUCCGCUAACU
rnacentral:rRNA from 1 species